rnacentral:lncRNA from 1 species
AUUCUCUGUAUGUGCCUUAUAUUAGUGGUUGUAGUGGAAUUUGGAGCAGAAUAUAAUCAAACACAUUAGCACUUAUGUGGAAGGAGCAAACAAUGAGAUGGGCGAUAUGGCCCACUUUGAGAUCUUUUGUUUAAAACAACAACAAAAAAAGAGCCACCUGGCUACUUUUUUAGCUCUGGAAUUUUCCCCAGGUGGGCUAUUAACAUGACAGAGUGGAGGAAGGGAAUAUCUAGCUGGUGAUGGUUUAUUUUCUGUCUUCUUUAUAGAUCAUUUCGGUGGGGCCUGUAACAUAUAUUAAGCCAUGCGCUUCUUUUACAGCUUUUUAACAUGAUCUUCACACAUACUUUCCUGACUGAAUGGUGCCCCACCCUCACCAAAAUAUGUGUUCACAUCUGAAUCCCUAAAACCUGUGAAUGUAACCUUAUUUGGAAAAGGAUCUUUGCAGAGGUAAUUAAGUUAAGGUUCUUGAGAUAAGAUCAUCCUGGAUUACCUGUGUGGACCAUAAAUCCAACAGGUAUCCUUACAAGAGACAGAAGAGAAGACACAGGCACACAGAGGAGAAGGUCAUGUGGAGAUAAAGGCAGAGAUUGGAGUGAUGCAGCUACAAGCCGAGGAACACCUAGCACCACCAGAAGCUGGAAGAGAAUUUCUCAAGACUAAUCAUUAUUAACAACUUGGUGACAUUGACUACAAUGCACCUCCUCCUCUGUGAGCUGAGGUCUUCCUGCUAUACAACAAUACAUGAAUUUAUUAUGAUGUCUGAGAAUACUGAAAUGUUUUUGUGGCCAGAGGCAUAAAUCCAAAUCAAAGUAGAUAGAAAGGAAGAAUUUGUUGGAAAGAUACUGAGAUAUUCAAUGUAAUUAAAGGAAGAAUUGAACAACUUGACUGCAGGAAGUGUGAUGUGCAGCUGGAACAGCUGGAACCAGGACUUGAAGGCCACCAGGACACACACACCUUCUCUCUCUCAAUCUUUUUUUCUCUUUCUCUGAGUCUUACCUCUAUUUCUCUCUGCCCGUCAGCUUCAUUCUCCAUACAGAGUGGAUUCCUCCACACAGCCCAAGAAAAAGCCAGAGACAGCUUACAAGACCUUAGACUGCAAGGUCUCACUACCAGAGAAAACGAACCCUUUUUCCCAGAGUCAAUUUGAAGAAUUCGAAGCAAGGACUCUGAUUGGCCAGCUAGGGCCAUGAGCCCUUCUGAAUUGUUGAGCUUUAUGGUAACUUUGAGGGAGGGUUUUACUUGGAGAAAAGACUCUUCAGAAGUUUACUUUUGGUUGAAGCACAUUGUUUGCAAUUUAUUAUUGCUCUAGUUCUUACAGAACUUUACAUUCUAUUUAUUAAUGUAGCAAUUGUUAACAGUCCCUUUUUAAGGAACAUUUAAAUAUUGUUUGGUCUGUUUAAAGACUCAGUUAAUCAAACUGCUUCAAUACUUC